AGUGCCAGCAAUUGCGGUUAAACUAAUUAUAAGAAUGAAUUUUAUUUAAUUUGAUAUGAGUUAAUAAAAAUAUAUUAAUUGUUGUGAUCAUAAUUGAAAUUUUUUAGUGAAAUAUAAAUUUUAAUUAUAAGUUAUUAUUAUUAUUUGAUGAGUUAUAUAUAAAGUAUAGUAAUCUUUAUAAUAAAUUAGGAUUAGAUACCCUAUUAUUAGAGAAUAAAAAGUUAAUAGAUUGAAGUAUUAAAUGAGAAUCAUUAAAUUUAUAUAAUUUGGCGGUAUUUUUUUAUUAGAGGAACUUGUUUAUUAAAUGAUAAUCCACGAGUAGAUUUACCUAAUUUAAAUAUUUUUAUGUAUUGUUGUUUAGAAUUUAUCAUUAUAGUGAGAAUAUUUUAGAAUUUUAAUUAAAGUGUAAUUCAAAUCAAAAUGUAGAAUAAUUAGGGUUAGAUGAGUUACAGUUUAAUUGUAUAAUUGGAUCUUUUAUAUUAAUAUAAAAGUGAAAUUGGAUUUAAUAGUAAAUUUAUUUAAAUAAAUAAAUUGAAAAGUAAAAAAAAUGUGUACAAAUUGCCCGUCAUUUUCAUUUUGAAAUGAAAAAAGUCGUAACAUAGUAAAUGUACUGGAAAGUGUAUUUA
rnacentral:rRNA from 1 species